GAUGAACGCUGGCGGCGUGCCUAAUACAUGCAAGUCGAGCGAACAGACGAGGAGCUUGCUCCUCUGACGUUAGCGGCGGACGGGUGAGUAACACGUGGAUAACCUACCUAUAAGACUGGGAUAACUUCGGGAAACCGGAGCUAAUACCGGAUAAUAUAUUGAACCGCAUGGUUCAAUAGUGAAAGACGGUUUUGCUGUCACUUAUAGAUGGAUCCGCGCCGCAUUAGCUAGUUGGUAAGGUAACGGCUUACCAAGGCGACGAUGCGUAGCCGACCUGAGAGGGUGAUCGGCCACACUGGAACUGAGACACGGUCCAGACUCCUACGGGAGGAAGCAGUAGGGAAUCUUCCGAAAAGGGCGAAAGCCUGACGGAGCAACGCCGCGUGAGUGAUGAAGGUCUUCGGAUCGUAAAACUCUGUUAUUAGGGAAGAACAAAUGUGUAAGUAACUAUGCACGUCUUGACGGUACCUAAUCAGAAAGCCACGGCUAACUACGUG
rnacentral:rRNA from 1 species